rnacentral:rRNA from 1 species
GAUGAACGCUGGCGGCGUGCCUAAUACAUGCAAGUCGAGCGAACGGACGAGAAGCUUGCUCCUCUGAUGUUAGCGGCGGACGGGUGAGUAACACGUGGAUAACCUACCUAUAAGACUGGGAUAACUUCGGGAAACCGUAGCUAAUACCGGAUAAUAUUUUGAACCGCAUGGUUCAAAAGUGAAAGACGGUCUUGCUGUCACUUAUAGAUGGAUCCGCGCUGCAUUAGCUAGUUGGUAAGGUAACGGCUUACCAAGGCAACGAUGCAUAGCCGACCUGAGAGGGUGAUCGGCCACACUGGAACUGAGACACGGUCCAGACUCCUACGGGAGGCAGCAGUAGGGAAUCUUCCGCAAUGGGCGAAAGCCUGACGGAGCAACGCCGCGUGAGUGAUGAAGGUCUUCGGAUCGUAAAACUCUGUUAUUAGGGAAGAACAAAUGUGUAAGUAACUAUGCACGUCUUGACGGUACCUAAUCAGAAAGCCACGGCUAACUACGUG